UACGUAGGGGGCAAGCGUUGUCCGGAUUUAUUGGGCGUAAAGAGCGUGUAGGCGGCCACACAGGUCUGCUGUGAAAACUCGAGGCUCAACCUCGAGCUGUCGGUGGAAACCGUGUGGCUAGAGUCCGGAAGAGGAGAGUGGAAUUCCCGGUGUAGCGGUGAAAUGCGCAGAUAUCGGGAAGAACACCCGUGGCGAAGGCGGAUCUCUGGGCCAUUACUGACGCUGAGGAGCGAAAGCGUGGGGAGCGAACAGG
rnacentral:rRNA from 1 species